rnacentral:rRNA from 1 species
GAUGAACGCUGGCGGCGUGCCUAAUACAUGCAAGUCGAGCGAACAGACGAGGAGCUUGCUCCUCUGACGUUAGCGGCGGACGGGUGAGUAACACGUGGAUAACCUACCUAUAAGACUGGGAUAACUUCGGGAAACCGGAGCUAAUACCGGAUAAUAUAUUGAACCGCAUGGUUCAAUAGUGAAAGACGGUUUUGCUGUCACUUAUAGAUGGAUCCGCGCCGCAUUAGCUAGUUGGUAAGGUAACGGCUUACCAAGGCGACGAUGCGUAGCCGACCUGAGAGGGGGAUCGGCCACACUGGAACGGAGACACGGUCCAGACUACUACGGGAGGCAGCAGUAGGGAAUCUUCCGCAAUGGGCGAAAGCCUGACGGAGCAACGCCGCGUGAGUGAUGAAGGUCUUCGGAUCGUAAAACUCUGUUAUUAGGGAAGAACAAAUGUGUAAGUAACUAUGCACGUCUUGACGGUACCUAAUCAGAAAGCCACGGCUAACUACGUG